AUCGCUUUUGGAUGGACCCGCGGCGUAUUAGCUAGUUGGUGAGGUAACGGCUCACCAAGGCAAUGAUACGUAGCCGAACUGAGAGGUUGAUCGGCCACAUUGGGACUGAGACACGGCCCAAACUCCUACGGGAGGCAGCAGUAGGGAAUCUUCCACAAUGGACGCAAGUCUGAUGGAGCAACGCCGCGUGAGUGAAGAAGGCUUUCGGGUCGUAAAACUCUGUUGUUGGAGAAGAAUGGUCGGCAGAGUAACUGUUGUCGGCGUGACGGUAUCCAACCAGAAAGCCACGGCUAACUACGUGCCAGCAGCCGCGGUAAUACGUAGGUGGCAAGCGUUAUCCGGAUUUAUUGGGCGUAAAGCGAGCGCAGGCGGUUUUUUAAGUCUGAUGUGAAAGCCCUCGGCUUAACCGAGGAAGUGCAUCGGAAACUGGGAAACUUGAGUGCAGAAGAGGACAGUGGAACUCCAUGUGUAGCGGUGAAAUGCGUAGAUAUAUGGAAGAACACCAGUGGCGAAGGCGGCUGUCUGGUCUGUA
rnacentral:rRNA from 1 species